ACGACUCUCGGCAACGGAUAUCUCGGCUCACGCAUCGAUGAAGAACGUAGCAAAAUGCGAUACUUGGUGUGAAUUGCAGAAUCCCGUGAACCAUCGAGUUUUUGAACGCAAGUUGCGCCCGAAGCCAUUCGGCCUAGGGCACGUCUGCCUGGGUGUCACGCA
rnacentral:rRNA from 1 species